CUUACACAUGCAAGUCGAACGAUGAAGCCCUUCGGGGUGGAUUAGUGGCGAACGGGUGAGUAACACGUGGGAAAUCUGCCCUGCACUCUGGGACAAGCCUUGGAAACGAGGUCUAAUACCGGAUAUGACUACUGACCGCAUGGUCGGUGGUGGAAAGCUCCGGCGGUGCAGGAUGAUCCCGCGGCCUAUCAGCUUGUUGGUGGGGUAAUGGCCUACCAAGGCGACGACGGGUAGCCGGCCUGAGAGGGCGACCGGCCACACUGGGACUGAGACACGGCCCAGACUCCUACGGGAGGCAGCAGUGGGGAAUAUUGCACAAUGGGCGAAAGCCUGAUGCAGCGACGCCGCGUGAGGGAUGACGGCCUUCGGGUUGUAAACCUCUUUCAGCAGGGAAGAAGCGAAAGUGACGGUACCUGCAGAAGAAGCGCCGGCUAACUACGUGCCAGCAGCCGCGGUAAUACGUAGGGCGCAAGCGUUGUCCGGAAUUAUUGGGCGUAAAGAGCUCGUAGGCGGCUUGUCACGUCGGAUGUGAAAGCCCGGGGCUUAACCCCGGGUCUGCAUUCGAUACGGGCAGGCUAGAGUGUGGUAGGGGAGAUCGGAAUUCCUGGUGUAGCGGUGAAAUGCGCAGAUAUCAGGAGGAACACCGGUGGCGAAGGCGGAUCUCUGGGCCAUUACUGACGCUGAGGAGCGAAAGCGUGGGGAGCGAACAGGAUUAGAUACCCUGGUAGUCCACGCCGUAAACGUUGGGAACUAGGUGUUGGCGACAUUCCACGUCGUCGGUGCCGCAGCUAACGCAUUAAGUUCCCCGCCUGGGGAGUACGGCCGCAAGGCUAAAACUCAAAGGAAUUGACGGGGGCCCGCACAAGCAGCGGAGCAUGUGGCUUAAUUUCGACGCAACGCGAAGAACCCUUACCAAGGCUUGACAUAUACCGGGAAAGCAUUAGAGAUAGUGCCCCCCUUGUGGUCGGUAUACAGGUGGUGCAUGCUGUCGUCAGCUCGUGUCGUGAGAUGUUGGGUAGUCCCGCACGAGCGCAACCGUGAUCUGUGUUGCAGCAUGCCUCGGUGAUGGGGACUCACAGAGACUGCGGGUUCAACUCGAAGAGGUGGGACGACGUUCAGUCAUCAUGCCC
rnacentral:rRNA from 1 species